UCGGGUUGUAAAGCACUUUUGUCCGGAAAGAAAACCUCCGUCCUAAUACGGUGGGGGGAUGACGGUACCGGAAGAAUAAGCACCGGCUAACUACGUGCCAGCAGCCGCGGUAAUACGUAGGGUGCAAGCGUUAAUCGGAAUUACUGGGCGUAAAGCGUGCGCAGGCGGUCCGCUAAGACAGAUGUGAAAUCCCCGGGCUUAACCUGGGAAACUGCCAUUGUGAAUAGUCGAGCUAGAGUAUGGCAGAGGGGGGGUAGAAUUCCACGUGUAGCAGUGAAAAUGCGUAGAGAUGUGGAGGGAAUACCGAUGGCGAAGGCAGCCCCCCUGGGCCAAUACUGACGCUCAUGCACGAAAGCGUGGGGAGCAAAACAGGAUUAGAUACCCUGGUAGUCCACGCCCUAAGCGAUGUCAACUAGUUGUUGGGGAUUCAUUCCCUUAGUAACGUAGCUAACGCGUGAAGUUGACCGCCUGGGGAGUACGGUCGCAAGAUUAAAACUCAAAGGAAUUGACGGGGACCCGCACAAGCGGUGGAUGAUGUGGAUUAAUUUGAUGCAACGCGAAAAACCUUACCUACCCUUGACAUGGUCGGAACCCUGGUG
rnacentral:rRNA from 1 species